ensembl:lncRNA
GUUCAGUGUUUCCACCAGGAAGCUGUGUCUGUCCAUUUAACACAUUUUCGGGUUUCUCAGAUAAGCCAUUGCUCUUAGACUAGAACAUUGUGAGGGGAAGCUAAUGGAGGAAAGAUGCUGAGGCUCUCAGGAGAAUCCACUUAGGGCAUCAGUUAAGUGUCUGCUGAGACAUCCUAUAGCGGAGCAGUUACUGAAUCAGAGCAGAGCUGAGCACCUGAGCUUCCAGACAAUGUCCUUGUCUCUUGGCUCUUGUCUUUAGCCUUAUCAACCACCCCCCACAAAAUGAGCCAGACAGCCAGACUUCUUUUCUGGGAAUGCUGAAUAAUGCAGUCCACCCUUUAUUUUUUCUGGAAUAAGUACUGCUGUGUGUGCCUUUCAUCCUGUGUUGUGAUGAAGAGGAAAACUGGACUUGAACAUCAGCUCCAUAACUUGAUAGCUGGAUACCUUAGGAAAGGAACUUCUCCUGACACUUACGUCCCUUACGUCUGUAAGCUGCCGACAAUGAUGACAGUACUCUUGGAGAGACUGAAUGGGAUGAUACAUGGAAAACCCUUAGUUCAGUGUCUGGCACACAGUAGGUAUUCAGAAACAGCAGCUAUCAGUGUCUCUACAUUUGGAAGGGAACAAAUUUUAAUUCCAGGCUUCCUGCAGCAGUGUCCUACAUGUUUUUCCUUAUCUAAUAAAGAAAAAAGAAGAAGCCUGCAUUUAAUAAACAAUAUCUCCCAGAUCAGCCCCGUGUGAUGGGUACUGAGCAGAUACGGGACAGAUUCUAGAAGAUGACUCACCAGAACCCCGCUCUCUCACACACUGUGAGCUCAGAAAAUGUCUAAUAUCCUGUUGCUACAUAUCAAUGUAGAUUCUUUGACAUUAUCACUUUUAAGCCAAAUGGAGAAAAAUAAGACUUCCUCUCAAGUUAGAAAAUGUUCCUUUAUUUUAAAACCCUUUUCCAGAGUCAGGCCCACCAGUGUGAAAUGAGGAAAAGAGCGGGGAGGUGAGUGAUGAGGCUAAGGAUUCCUGAGAAGUAUCAGACACGAGGAGAAGGAGCGGAGGUUCUCACCCGAAUUGGGUGCAGCUGGGACCCGGAUCCUCUGGGCUCAGGGACAAGGUUAGGGGAGCCAGUGUCCAACUGCGGGAGUUUCACAUGACAUGUGCUCAAUCAAGGGCCAACAUCCAUUUCUUCCCAUCUUUGGCAUGGCUCCUCUGGGUGCAGAAGGAUCAUUCAUGGAGAGGAGCUUUCACAGGGCCUUCCAACAGUUCACUGAGUGGCCAAUGAAGCUCUUGUGUCCUCGGUUCCCAAGAUAAAUGGAGCCAUUUGUACCCGUGGAGCAGGCAUCAUGUGGAAGCAAAACUGGGUGUGGGAAGCACCCUCUCGCCAUCUUUCAUGUCAACCUUCCCUUCAGUACUGACUAGGGAGUGGGUGCAUUGAGACAUUCCUCUUUUUCCUGUCUUCUCUGAGUCAGUUGGCCACAUCUCAAGCACUGAGCUAACUCUGCAUUUUCCUUUAAAAACAAGAGGCUACUUUAGGCAACCUAAUCCAGUAUUCUUGCCUGGGAAAUCCCAUGGACAGAGGAGGCUGGUGGGCCACAGUUCAAGGGGUUGCAAAGACACGACUGAGCAACUAAACAACAGCAACUUUAAAACUAGAUAUCACUUCAAAAUGACAUGUAGACACUCAACUAGUCUGACAUAUUCCUGACCCCACCAAAAAAUGCAAACAAAACAGAGAUAUUGAAGAACCAAGAGACAGAAAGAAUAAAAUGUCCUUAUCUCCAUCAUAAGCAGGACCAUUAUAACUGGAAAAUUAAUUUGAAGAAAUUGAGGUAACAAGGAGGCCCUGGGGGUCAGCAGAACAAAAUGAUGAACAUUUUGGAUCCUUGAAUGACUGCACAGACCAACUUCUCUCUGACCUAGAAUUUCCACCUCAGAUUACUACAUAGAAAAAAACAAGCAAAUAAAACUCCAUCUUCUUUAAGCCAACAAAUUAUUGUGAGCCAUCUUUGUUCAGUAGCCUUAGCCUUCCCCUCAAAAUCUAACGAUAUAUGAUGUCCAGACUCAGUUCACCAAUAUGGACUAAAAAUGUUUUAAAAAUUGUAUAUAUACACAUA